GGCUUUCGCGGUGACGCCCCCUCCCGAAUGGUUUGCUUGGAUUCUUCUAGUACUUGGCUCUGACCUGGACGGUGGCCAGAGGAGGACAAGAGACUUCCAGAAAGAAUGGAGGGAUGAUUUGGAUGACACAUGAAACGCAGUCACACAUCAACAAGCAGCCGGGCUCCGGGGAAGUGGCAGCGGCGCUGAUGGCGACCGAGAGGAACCGGGGGGAGCACCUCCCGAGGCCGUGGCUGCCGCCAAGAUAGAGUCGGGUUAUCCAUUUUGGGAAGAGAAACCACAGAAGUGAUGUUGUGUUCAUAUCGGUGCAUCAUAUCAGGAGGCCCGGUUGUUUUCUGCCCUAAUGUCAAUCAAUAUGUUGGAAGUUAUCAAGAAGUUCAUGAGAAAUCCAUUUGAAAUUCUAAUGAAGAAGGAAGAAUUGACCCUUGAAAGGGCCAAUAUUUUAUACUAAUUUUGAAAGAGGGUGGUAACAGAAAGAAAGAGACAUUAUCAGGAAGGAAUUCAGAGUUGGCAGUAGAUGUUGAUUUGGGAGGAAAGCUGUGGCCAUUAAACAUUAAAGAAGACAAGUGGAUUCUUUGUGACUGUGAGACUUUCUGCAAUACUACGGUGGAGGAAAUGCCAGUGAAUGUGACUGACCUUAUUUCAUUCCUGGGAUGAGAGAGUUUCGAAUGGAGCCCUCUCUACUGUGGAAGAGGUGGUGACAACGUGCAUUGUGCUUCUUUCUUUGGGAAUAUUUGAAGCUCGUCUCAAUGCUCAUAACAGAUCAAAAAUACAGAUUUUGAUGUAACACUACUCUUAAGAGCCCAUAUGAGGAUGGUCAUUGGUUUUAUCUGCUUUAGAAUUAGAAUAUUGGAGUCAGAUAUGAAAGAUGAGGUUGUAACAAUUAUUCUUAGAACUUUAUUGUCUAGUUCUGAAAAAAUGGUUAUAUUGAGUGUUCUCUAUCAUUUAAUGCUAUAUUGUGGAUUGAAUGAUAUGUGCUCUAUAAAGCAGCCAAUUAUAGGGGCACCAAUUAUAGGCUCAGCCAGUGGAGUCUGUGACUCUUGAUCUUGGGUUUUUAAGUUCAGCCCCAGGUUGGAUGUAGAGAUUACUUAGAAAUAAAAUCUUUAAAAAAAAAAAAAAAGCAGCCAAUUAUAUUAAACUAGUGUAUCUGCUUUUACUGUGUUAGUCAUUAGACUGAAUGAAACAAACUCAAAAAUGGUUUUUAUAAAGAAAGUAUUUGAUUUCAUUUUGUAUGAUAUUGUGUUUUUACUUUGUAAAAUAGUUUAUUAGUGGUAAGCAUGAACUGGAGUCUUUUACUAAUAAACACCCACAACAAUCAUAUCCUAGGGCUAAAUCCCAGAAAAAUUGCCAUAUUGUAUAUUGAAUACUCAAUAAAUUAUAAUAAAGAAUAUCUUUCUUUAA